UUGACGGUGUACUCCCACGCCGGUUCGGUGCCGAGCAGGUGCUGGUCGCCGAACCUGUCGCCGUCGGCCAGCACGCCCAGCCGGACGGCCUCGCCGUAGGGGCCGGUGCCGGUCUUGUGCACGCGCCCGUGCGCCAGCAGGAACAGGCUGUCGGCCGCCGUGCCCUCCUCCACCAGGACCUGGCCGUUCUCGAAGUCGCGCUGGACGAAGCGGUUGGCCAGGGCCGCCAGCACCUCCUCGUCGUCGAAGCCGCGCAGCAGGGCCAGCUCGCCGAGUUCGUGGGGGAUGACCCGGACCCGGGCGCCGGUCUGCUCGAACUCGAUCCGCCCGUCGCCGACGGUGUAGGUCAGCCGCCGGUUGACCCGGUAGGCGCCGCCGUCGGUGUGCACCCACGGGAGCAUCCGGGUCAGCCAGCGGGAGCUGAUGCCCUGCAUCUGCGGCGUGGACUUGGUGGUGGUCGCCAGGUUCCGCGCGGCCGCGGUACCCAGGCUCUGCUGCUUGCUGCUCCGG
rnacentral:antisense_RNA from 1 species